rfam:Trichomalopsis sarcophagae strain Alberta scaffold9785, whole genome shotgun sequence.
GUACACGUUAGCUCAGUGGUUAGAGCACAGGCCUCUAGCUCCCGGGUCCGCGAGUUUGAGUCCCGUCGUCUACU